rnacentral:misc_RNA from 1 species
AAGGAGCACCUGCGUCUGUACCGGUUGGUGGAGAUGCUGGGUCCAGGGCUGGCCCGUCGAGGACGUGUGUUCCUCGGGGUUGGAGCUCAUAGAACCGUGGAGCACUGGCUAUUCAACUCGCCCAGGCCGCCGGCCUGGUCAGUACUACCCCGGCUCCUUCCUUGUGGGAGGGUGGUUGGGGUGUGGAACCUCCGGAUUGUGGGGGUUGGGUGGGUUGGGCACACUGUUGGGUCCUGAGGAAACGGACCCGACCCCUCUACCGAGUCCGCCUGUUGGCGGCCUGGUAGGGGGUUCUCGGCCUGGUUGGGCCGGGGUUGGUUUCUUCUGGUCUGCGGGGCCAUGUGCCUGGCGCUCCGGAGGUUUCCCAGUGUUGGUGUUGGUGGAUCCGGUUGUUUUUUUGUUAAACUGCAUAGUGAACGCAAGCAUCCUUUGAUUCGCUUGUUUGUGGUCAUUUUGU